UCUUGGAGAUAAGCUCUUAAACAAAAAGUACCAGCCAACUAGACCAACAACUCUUGAUCUAUCAUAUGAAAAUUGAAUGCGUGAUCCUGAUCGGUAAAAUAGACUGGUGCCAAACAACUCAUCUAGAGGUUCUUUAGUCGUGCAUGAAUUUUUCUGAAACGUAUAUUCCAAAAAUAAUGACACAAAAGAAAUAUUAUGAAAAAUAAUAGUAGAUAUUUAUUUAUAAAAUACAUCUUUCCUAUUUAUGAUUUGAUAGG
rnacentral:lncRNA from 1 species